AUCAGAGGAGACUUCUUCACUAAAAAGAAGAGUUUAAUAUCAGACUUUUUAUUCUUUCAAUCAGAUUUUGUAUUUCACAGUCUCCACCCUCCUGUUUAAGAAUCUGAAAAAAGGCAUUUUCUGGUUUACAUUGAAACACAGGAGUUUUAAAUAUCUCUUCAGCUGCUUCCUAAUGUUUGUUCCACAGGAAGGGAGUUAGUUCAUAGCAUAGUGUGCUUUGUUGUGUCUGCAUCAGCAAAGCAGAUAAACUCAGCCUCUCUUCAUCAGGGAAAGGGGCAGAGUGGCACCAGGAGACAGGGCAAUACUGACGGAUUAUUGUGAAUGUUUCAGGGAACAAAAUGACUUUCAGAUAUUUCCCAGCAUCUCAGGGAUCUGAGACCUGAAGGCUGGUCUUACCAGUAGAGACCAAUGAGAAAAGAACAGGCAACUGCUCCUGCUCACCAUCCUGACCUGUUCUUCCAGAAAGCCUGUAUACAACCAUUGCAGUACUCCAGAAAUUUCAAAAAUCAGGCUCCAUCUACUGAAGAAUUCAAAGUAUCUUGCAGAUGUGCAGCUGCAGCUCUCUGAUACUGAGGAAAAUAUGAGCUAUCCACAGACACCAGCAAAAAGCCAGGCACAUGCAGGCCACCCAAGGCAAAUGAGGUGAUCCAAGAGUCACCAGCAGCAACAAGGGAGGGGUUUUUUACAUUCACUGUGAAACACUCUGGGAAAAUGGAUGUUCAGAUGUGCACAGGGUGCAAGUUGUUUGGCCCGACUUGGAUUUGUGCAUCACAGCGGUGCUGGUGAAGAUUGUGUUCAGGCAAUGCCACUUGUGGCUGCAGAGAAUUCCUUCUCAGAGUAUGGACUGCCUUGCUACUGUGUAAGCAGCUUCUGUUCCUGCUCAACUCUCAGUUCAGGAUUAAGGGGCGACUCAGGGCUCCACUUCAGUGGCUUAAGUUAAAGUAGGGCAAGAACGGUCAAAGUUGUUUGCAAUAAUCAAAAGUGUAAUGAGGGAAAAUAAAGAGGUCUUUCCACCACCUGCUGACGAGAACAGAAGUGCAAGAGAAAACAGACUCAAGUACAAGGUCCUGACUAUUCUUGGCACCAUGUGUUAGAGUCUUUGGGGAUUCUUCAGGGACAUGAACUUCACUUGCACCAAGAUCAAUGAAAACCUGCACAUUCAAUCUGUUUCUCAUAAAAAAAUAACUCUGAGUUUCUCCAGUGUGCAAGUCAGAACUGUCUGAAAGUCACAGGGAAAUAAGGGGCUGAAGGGCUAAGAAUUUUGUGCUUCUUUUUCUUUUUAUACACUUCUUAUUCCCACAGAUCCUAUGGGAAGCAUAGGACUUCAGCACAGGGACAGCCAGAAAGAUUCAGGGCUGUUAAAUUAGCAGCUUGUUUAAAUCCCAAGGUAAACUGGUUGUGCUAAAUUAAUCUAUGAACCUUCACAUCAAAUCUAGAGCCUCUGAGCAGUACAGAUAUUUUGAGAUGAUCUAAUUGUGGUUGGAGAGAAGGGAAAGUAUGGGCGCGAGUAACACUGUACUGAGUGCCACAGUGGGGUUAGCACACAGCACAGUGUAAAAAGCUGACACAGGCAACACAGCCAGAACACCAGGGAGAAAAGAUAUCUAG